rnacentral:rRNA from 1 species
CCAAUUUUCUGCCACCGAAUACAUUAGCAUGGGAUAAUGGAAUAGGACCCUGUCCUCCUAUUUUCAGUUGGUUUUGGCAGCGCGAGGACUAGGGUMWUGAUUAAUAGGGAUAGUUGGGGGCAUUAAUAUUUAAUUGUCAGAGGUGAAAUUCUUGGAUUUAUGAAAGAUUAACUUCUGCGAAAGCAUCUGCCAAGGAUGUUUUCAUUAAUCAAGAACGAAAGUUAGGGGAUCGAAGACGAUCAGAUACCGUCGUAGUCUUAACCAUAAACGAUGCCGACCAGCGAUUAGGAGACGUUGAAUACAAAACACCACCAUCGGUUGCGGUCGUCCUUGGCGUCUCGGUUUCGGCCGGGGCGCGGGGACGGCUUAGCCCGGUGGCACCGGUGAAUGACUCCCCUAGCAGCUUGUGAGAA